CAAUCAGGUUGCGCAGGGAAGAGAGAGAGGAAGGGAGGCUCAGCAUGCAGCCUACAAGAUGUAUCCUGACACUGCUUCAGCCAUGGACCCUUCAGCUUCUGCAUGUUUGUUCUCAACUGAAGAUAGUGCUGCUCCCUUUGCUCCCCCCUUCCACUUCUCUGUCUCUAGAAAUCAAGUGAAGAAGCAGCUGGAGAGACUGAACUGGAAUAAGGCUGCAGGUCCAGAUGGUAUCUACCCCUGAGUCCUGUGCAGAGCAGUUCUGUGGGACUCUACAGCACCUCUUCAACCUUAAUCUGACCAAGAAGGUUCCAGAGUUGUGGAAGACCUCCUGCAUUGUUCCAGUACUGAAGAAGUACUGAAGAAAACUCAGCAAUCAGUUUUGUGCUUGGAUGCACUCACCUGUCCUUAAGUCCUGUCCGAAGAAUCAGACCAGUGGAACCCUCCGCUCAAAUUUCCCGAAGAAACAGACCAGUGUAAUCCUCCACUAAGAUUUUGCUCUGGCUCUCCCCCUCAUACUCCCUUGGCAUUACUAAGUCGGGCCUGAGGUCCCCUUCCCGGAUUCCACUGACCCAUCUGAACUCUGGUCAAUCCGUCUGUCGCCCCAGUCAGCUGAGGCUCGCUCCGGAUCUCUCGCCUGCUCCAUCUGCUGCCCUCCAGCCACUAGCCACCUACCCAACCAAGAGGUAGACUUUGGAGUUCCCUCGACACACCUCCCCCAGUUAGGUCUGCCCAGCUUAAUGUCUCGCUGCUCCGACGUUCAGGCCUCGCCCGAGCCACCUGUAGCUCCGUCCCUGUGGUCCGCACUUUCCUAAAUAAACAUCUUUAAAACUGUGCUUGGUCUCCACUCAUAUCUGCAUGUGGGCUAAACAUCUAAAAACCAUGACAAUCAGUCCUCAAUGACAAAAAUAAUGAAUCCACAUCAGCCAUAUCCAACAGCUAAUCAUCAGAUAAUUGCCAUCAGCCCUGGAGUCCCAUAUAACAUAGCAGAACUACAUCCUCCAGAAAAACUGACUCACCAUCGCUUUCUGUUUUGACCAACUCUCAGAUGCUUUGGCAACUGCCUGUAACACUACCACUUUUCUCUUGUUCUCGUCUGUGGUCUCCUCUGGCAACCAUUGUAUAUAUGCCAGCUUCUUGCAAAUCAAAACAUUUACUGCAUGUGCACUGUAUUUUUUUUUAUAUCUGUGUCAGUUGAUCACAUGCAUUAAUUGGAGUGUUUGUGUGACUGCUCUGAUAC